UAGUACCCCACAUUCCAUAUAUUUUGGGGAAUAUACAAUAAACCUGAAAAUUCUGACAACUCAAUAAAACAAAGUUCACGUUUCCUUAUUGAGUAAUUCUACUGGCUACCCUUACACUUGAAACCAACAAGUUUCCUGUGCCAGGACCUUUUUUCACAACCUGAAAAAAGAGAGUUUUGGCUUUUCUUCUCCCCCUCUUUCAAGUGUACAUGCUUGAACCCCCAGCAGAGAGGUUGGUCCCCUGGGCUGGAGCACAGAUGAGAGCCCUCCAGUUCCUCCCACAGCAUUUGCCCAUCUGUGUUUCACCUUACCUGUGAGAAUGUCCAACGUGUGAGACGCACAGGAGAUUUCCCAGGUUCCAAUGCAGGGCUCAAGAAGCUUGGCUUUCAUUUUUACAAAGCAGAAACGCUGGAUUUCACACAUUAACACUUCUUUUGAGGAGACUUAUCCUGAGCAGCCUGUGCUGCAUUCUGACAUGGAAAGAAGAGCUUGGCCUGACUCCUCUCCACCACCUUCUCGUAAGACUUUCCAAACUGUAGCUACUUAUGAUCAAAAGUCAUCUUCAAGGAACAAAGAAGACCCCAUGAGCUUAAGAACUUUGGUCACCACAGUUACUCAGCCAAGAUGCCGCUUAUUCUGUGCAUGCCGAGGUAGCAGCAUCAGUUUCAGCUCCUCUGUGCCAUCAGCACACAGGGCCUGGAAUAGUCAGCUGCUUUUUUGGGACCUUACUUACCAGGUACUUACUGUUCUAUCAUUGCAAUCUUCUGAUUUCUCAUCAGUAAAUUCUAAACUGCUAGCCAUUUCUGUAGCACCUCCACUUUGGUACCAAAUGUGAUAGAAAUUUAUAUGGUAGAAAGAGGUUUUUUGCGUACUUUAGUGCCACGUACUGUAGUGUCACAGGUCAAAGUGUCUUUUACCAUCAUCACUGGUGCACAUCCCUGAAUUAGUUAGUAGUCCUGUAGUUGCCACUGUUGCAGAGUCUGUAAUAUUGUCCUUGUUUGUAUCCAUACUAAGCCUCAGGAAAUCAUGGUUUUCUACCCCUUCAUCACUGGAGAGGUAAGGUACUUGUUGCAGAUCUGGAGUGAGAUCUUGAAAAUCAUAUGCUGUCCUCUGAUGAUAUCUGAACAUCCAAAUUGCCAAACUGAUCAUAGUAUCUUGAAGUAGACCCAUACCAUACUUGCUCACUCUCCAAACUACACCUAUAAAUACAACCUGGUAUGAAAUAUACCGUCUAAGGCAUAACUUUCUGCAGCAUUCACAUAUGCUUAACAUUGUGGCUGACACCUAGCUAAUCUCCAGUCUUUUUGCUCAUAAGGAUUUUCCUGUCUUUUGCAGAUAAUGGCAUGAAAAUAUCACUGUAUCACUGAGGAAGACAGAGAUAUAGCAUUGUGGUACUACUCUGUGUAAUAAGUCUAAUAUUUAAAUACCAAAGUUCAGCUUCCAAGUCAAAUAAAUGACACAUUAGAACCUUUUCAGCCUUCUUCGUAUAAAUAUGGAUUUUAUCUCUCUCCUAUCACUACAGGCUAGAAGUUACGUUUUCCUCUUUCUUCUUGACAUUGCAUCUUGUAGAUAAGGAACAAGCAGGAGAAUGAAGAAAAUCAUUCGCUAGAAGUCACUGCAGACUUUUGUACUUUUCUUUUCCAGUUAACGCAUACUGUUAGUUGGAAAUGAAGUCCCUGCCUUUUCAGAGGUUUUUGGCCCGUGCUGUUUUUAAGACACAAUCAUAUUUUCCACAGUAUUCCCUGAUAUGGAAGCAGCUUCCUUCUACAAAACCCUUUGGUUUCGUAACAGCCGGCUUGUUUCCUAGCUGCCGGCCAAAGGAGCAGAUGAAGAACAUGACCCAAAGGAGUUACGGGCAUCCUGUCCACAGGCUUACAGUUUCACUGGCCAACUAAGGGAUUACUGCCAGCAGCACUCAGCAGCUCAGAUGGACCCGAGGUUUAUACACCAGUCUCUUAGGCAUUUGAAUUAUUUGACAACCAGCAGCCAAACCUUUGAUUGGUUUUUGCAACAAUACCAUUUUCUCUAACCAAGUAUCACUCUCUGAAGAGGGAAUGGC